CCUACAACUAGCAUGCCUCCCUCCUAAGCCCCUCGUUAGCACACAUUUGUGCAGAAAUACCUGGCUCUGUCUUUGGUGCUGUGUGCACUGAUAUCCAUGUCAAAUGCACAAUGCUACAAUAGGGCUUUGACACCAGGCAUGACCCACUGCCAGGAUGAAGUGGAUCU